rnacentral:lncRNA from 1 species
UUUCCCUCGCGUGGUCUCCGCGCGCGGGUUACUGUACAUUAGUAAGAACUGAGAAUCAGUCAGCUACAUUCAGUCGUUGCAUGGCUAUGAAUAAAUUUCAAAUAUUUGGCUUCGCGAUUGCGAUAAAUUAAUCUUACGGUGAGUUUUUUUUUCCUGCUUAUAUGUAAUUCAAUGAAUUGGGAGGAUACAUUUCUACAUUGGAAAUCACUAAACAUAUUCCAGUUUUGAAAUUCAAUUGAAUCUUACACUUAAUUUUCCUAGUUGACAGUUUUAGUUUGUAUGCAUUCCAUUGGAAAUCAUUGUUAGGGAUCAUGUUCAUCAGUUCAUGUGCUGUGUACAACGAUGUAGGAGUUUAUUGAGAUCACUCUCGUGUUUUAGCUGGAUUUUUGUUUAAGUUCUGAUAUGUACAAUAAUGAUCUGCUACAGAAGUAUUUAGAGUUAAAUGGUCACAAAUACACCUAAAUUAUCCCUUUUUUCGAUUUUCAUAUUUGAACUAUCCGAGUUUCCUACAUUAACUAUCACCUACUAUUUAUCAAAACACACCUCAAAUAUCAAUUAUUCACUUUUCCUACCUAAAAUAUCAUUUAUUUAGGAAAAAUGAACUAUUGAUAGUUGAUGUGCAUUUUGAUAAGUAGUUGGUGAUAGGACAGUUAAUAGGAAAUAGUGGAGUAAUCGGUAAAGUUGCUGCCAUGUGACCAGAAGGUCACGGGUUCAAGCCUUGGAAACAGCCUCUGGCAUAAAUGCAAGGUAAGGCUGCGUACAAUACACCCUUGUGGUGGGGCCCUUCCCCGGACACCGCACAUAGCGGUAGCUUUAGUGCACCGGGUUGCCCUUUUGAAGGGGAGCCUUGGAGUAACUGGUAAAGUUGCUGCCGUGUGACCAGGAGGUCACUAGUUUAAGCCUUGGAAACAGCCUCUUGCAGAAAUGCAAGGUAAGGGGGCGUACAAUACACCCUUGUGGUGGGGCCCUUCCCCGGACACCGCACAUAGCGGUAGCUUUAGUGCACCGGGCUGCCCUUUUAUAUACCUAGUUCAAGUAUGAAACUCAACAAAUAAGUAUACUUUAGGAGUAUUUUUGAUCCUUCACUCUAAUAUUUAAUUAUUCAUGCAAUAUAAAACCUUGCUGACAUCAUUAGAAACCAUAUGCAAGCUCUGAACUUCAUUGUUUCUAGUAGAAAGUGCACGUGGAUAGAGCAGAAUGGUUACAAUGAAUCCAUGCGUACUGUGACUAAUUUGGGAUUGAGGCUGCAGAGGUGGAUCUAAAAUUUAAAGUUGAUUGGUUCGACCUUCAAGAUUUUUAAUAAUGAACUCAUUCUGCUAUUGAAAUUACUGAUUCAGAUUUAAUAUUCGUUUAAAAUUUAGUGUUUUUUCACGUGUUAGAAACACUGGGUUUGGUUAAAAAGAUACUGCAUCUUUUGACAGAAAUAUUGCGUAAGGUUGAACCGGCAGGCCACUAUUGACGCAUAGUUCAUUGUAUAGUGGAAACAAAACAUUGUCUUUUAAAUUAGUAGUUAGUAGUUACUUUGAGGAAAUUAAUAAUUAAAACAUCUAGUAUAUCUCUUGCUAAUGAUAGUGCCUACUUGGAAGUUGUCUUGCUAGGAGAAACUAUUUCCAAGUCUUCCUUCUCAAAGUUAGCAGUCGAUCAUGGAAAAUAGAUAUUCUUUCGGUAGGGACAUACUAAUAUUACUAAAGGGGUCCUUAGUAUGUGAUGGACCUGGUUCGGUUGAGUGUUUGGGUUUUGAUGCUAUGGAGUUGUCGCUGAGAAGUUGCUUCUAUGUAUCCACUAAUUAUAGAAUUCCUAAUACAAUAAGAUUACACAUUCUGGACAAACUCUUCCAAUUUAUGAAAAACUUGAAUAGCUAAAAACUUUUCACUUUGUUUUUCUUGAGUACUUUACAACUUUGUAUAACGUGCUGUCUUGGUCGUUUUAUCCUCCUUACUUUGGUGAUGAUGGCUUGGUCUUAGAGGACUUACCAGUGAUAGCUUUCGUCACCUUUGCAAUUGAGUGCUUGACUUUUGAUCCAACGCCUGACAAUAUGUUCUGAUGUUUCUUGUGUUGAACUUUAAUAUCAGCAUCUCGUGAGAUUUCUACAAUCACUGUAUCUUCAGAACUUGACCGUUCUCUUGUCUGUUGAAUUCCUUCCUCUUCUCUAUCAUUGUCUUCUCUUUCUUCAGCAAAGUUUUCCUCCAUUUUUGAUGUCUCUUUAACUGGUACAUGCAUAAGGUCAGAAACCUUAGCUUGCGUCUCUCUUGAUCUCGAUUCCUCUGGUGCUUCUUUUGAAUUACAUUCCAAUUCUUUCUCGUUUUUGUAAUUUUCUUGACUUUUGGCCUCUGCACCCAGUUGCACAUAUGGGGUAAUGCUGUCUUUGGGCGUACCAUUGACGCCAGUGCUGCUUGUUGGAACAGUUUCCUCCCUCUCUAAUGUAAGUAGAGGAUAUGCUGCUUGAUCUUGUAGCUGCUUAGUUGCAUUGCUUUCACUGCUCACCAUGUUAUCCAUUGCUAUCUCCUUUUCCGGAACCUUAACAGAUGUCAAUGAUGUCAAAUGUUCUGUUAUUUCUUCUUGCUCAUUCCUUGUUUUUUCCUCUUGUUCACCUCCUACUUGGGUAAUUGGAGCAUUUUCAGUCUUUAAUUCUUCUUUCUGUGUUUCUUUUGUUUCAUCGCAUGUUAUCAUCUCUCCGAAACCUGCUGCUGUUUUUCUUUCUGAUCCAAAAGGUUCCAAACUUCCUCUUUCAGGUUCACUUGUUGUUGUUCCCUGCUCUUGCUGUACCUGUGUUGUGCUGUUGUUUGAGGAAUCUUGGCCGGUGCUCUCUCUUAAGUCUUCUUCUUGUUCCUCCUAUGAGUUCAUAUCUUACCGUCAGAAAUCUUGAUUGAAUUGUUGCGCGAGUAAAUAGGGGAGACAGAGGGGUGUAUGAAAAGAUUGGAAUAAUGUAUUUUGCUUCUAUUUUUUUAGCUUUUUUCCUCACUGUUUAUAGUCUAGAUCCAGUUUUAUAAUUCAGAAUUAUGAUUUCUUGUAGCAGAUUGCAAAUCGGCAUUUAUGUUAUACUCUGCCUGUGUAUAUGAAAUGUUUCAUGCAGUUGACCAUGCAUAAUGUUUUCACGGCAACAUCUUUUCAAUCCCCUCUUUGCACGAGAAUACAAAAACUGAAAAUAAUAUAUAGUCAUCUAGAGAUUUGUGACCUUAACUAACUUGGAGUUGUGGCUUAGAUGUUGUCAUCGUUGUUGUUCUGAAAUAUUGUGCAGCAGGAGAACCAAAUUUCUAGGUUCAUAAACAUGCAAUAAACUCAUAGAUUCUCAGUAGAUGCUAAUCAGCUAACGUUGUAAGUUCUUGUUCAUUUACCUUGUUAGUAUUGUCCUCCACCCUCAUUUCUUCUGAAGAAAGUUCAAUUGCGUUCUCCACUCCACGCACGUCUUUAACCUCUUCUGUGGUUAGGUUGGCUUUUUGAAGGUUCUGCAGAAUAAAAAAAGAGCGAUACAGUGAUUUAGAAGAAAGAGAAAGCAUUUCUAUUUUAGCUUGGGGUUAGAUAUAUGAAUUGGAAACAGCCUUGUGUGGUCGCUUAACCUCUUGAUUGGGGGUUUCUGAAACCACUUUGCAUUCUUUAGAGUUAUUUGUCACCAUCUCUUCUUUGGCGGAUGUUAGAAGCUCGUCUAAGCUCCUUUCUUCUUUUUGUAGGACAUUCUUAUUUGUCCCAUCAUCAGCAUUGAUAUCUUUAAGUUCUUUUAUCUGUUUGGAUUGAUAGGUUUUGUUAUGACUAGUUUAGGCACAUGAAAGAAUAUCAAAAUAUUGGUAGAAGGAAGCCACUUAAUACCUCAAUUUCAACUUCUUUGCAAGGUCUCAUUGUUUCUUUGACUAACAGUUCUGCCUGUUUUCCAAUUAAAGCUUCUUCUUUCUCUGUUAAUUGUGUUUCAGAUUCAUCAAUUCUUUCAAUGACAGCUUCUUCCCUGUUUUGUUCUUUGAGUUCUUCUCCAAGUGGGUGUUCUUUAGGUUUCUCGUCAAUCAUUGGUUCUUCAAGUUUCUCUUUAACAACUAGUUCUUCAGAUUUCUCUUCAACUGGUAGAUUCUCGGGUUCUUCUUCAACUGCUGGUUCUUCAAAUUUUUCAGCUGCCGAUUCGUCAGGCUUUUCUUCAACUGAUGGUUCUUCAUGUUUUUCAUCGAAUGUUGGUUCUUCAACUGUAGAUUCUUCAGAUUUCUCCUCAACUGUUGGUUCCUCAGGUUUUUGGUCAACUACUGGUUCUUGAGGUUUAUCUUCAAUUGCUGGUUCUUCAGGUUUCUUUUCUAGUUCUUCACGUGUCUCUUUAACCACUGGAUCUUCAGGUGUUUCUUUCACCUCUUGUUUUUUGUGUUUCUCCUCAAUUGCUGGUUCUUGGGGUUUCUCUUCAAAUGUUUCUGCAAUUGCCAAUUUCUGAGGUUUCUCCUUUAUUGCUGGUUCUUCAGGUUUAUCCUCAACAAUUGGUUCUUCAAGCUUUUCCUCAACCAUUGGUUCUUCAAUUUUUUCCUCAACCAUUGGUUCUUCAGGUUUUUCCUCAACUCCUGGUUCUUCAGGUUUUUUCUCAACUGCUGGAUAGUCAACAACAUCAUUGUUGGUAUUGCAUGGAGUCUGAGUGUCAGACUUCCCGUUUGAAUCUAUAACUGACAUAUUCUGUAAGAAAAAUUUGAAGUUUCACUUAGUCUUCCAAUAGAUAAACAGAUGUGAAUUGUUGCACAUUCAGAGCUAAUAGUACAGGUAAAACUUGUGAGUACUUGAUCCUCACCUCUUCCAACAAAGUUACCUUUUCAGGCUUCGCUUCAACUUCAACUGCUAGUUUUUCAAGGUUCUUUUCAAUUGCUAGAUCUUUAGUUGUUUCUUCAACUGCUGGUUCUUCAGGUUUCUCUUCAAAUGUUAGUUCUUCAAGUGUUUCUUUCCAUGCUGGUCCUGCAAGUGUUUUUUCAACUACAAGCUCUUCAGAUUUCUCUUCAACUGUUGGUUCUUCAAGUUUCUCCUUGAAAACUGGUUCUUCAGUUUGUUUUUCCACUUCUGGUUCUUCAAGUUUCUCUUCAAUCACUUGUUUUUCAUGUUUUUCUUCAACUUCCAGUUCUUCAGCUGUUGGACAGUCAGCAACACCAUUGUUGGAAUUGCCUGGAAUUUCACUGUCAAUCUUGUCCUUUGAGUCUAUAAUUGACAUAUUCUGCAAGAAAAGUUUAAAAUUAGAUUUAAUAUUCAAUAGAUUGACAUAUGUGAGUGUGUUACACAUAUAAAGCUAUUAGAAUGGAUAAACUGUGACACUGUUUAAUCCUCACCUUCUCUAGGAGAGCUUCCGUUUCUAGUUUCUGCUCUUCAAUUACUGGGUUGUCGUGUUUCUCUUUAACAACUAGCUCUUCAAAGGUCUUUUCAACCAUUGGUUCUUCAGGUUUCUCUUCAAGUGCUAGCUCUCCAAGUGUUUCCUCCCCUGCUAGCUCUUCAUGUGUUUCUUUAGCUGUUGGUUCUUCAAGUUUUUCUUCAACAGUUGGUUCUUGAGGUUUCUCCUCAGCUGGUUUUUCAUAUUUCUCCUUAAUUGCUAGUGUAUCAAGUUUCUCUUCAAUAACUGGUCCUUCAGGUUUUUCUACAACUGCUGGUUCUUCAGGGUCUUUCUCAACUUCUUGAAAGUGAGCAUCAUCAUCGUUAGUAUUGCAUGGAAUUUCACAGUCAGUUUUGUCCUUUGAGUCCGCAACUAGCAAAUUCUGCAAGAAGAAUUAAAAGUUUCACUUAGUCUUUUAGUAGAUAAAGCAGAUGUGAAUCAUUGCACAUACAUAAAUAAUAGGAUGGAUAAACUUAUGACAGUGCUUGACCCUCGCCUUAUCCAAAAGAGUUACCUUUUCAAGUUUCUCCUCUUCAACUGUUGGGUUUUCAGGUUUCUCCUCUUCAACUACUGGUUUGUCAGUUUUUUCUUCAAAUGCUAGUUCAUUAGGUGUUUCUUCCCGUUUUGAUUCCUUGAGUGUUUCUUCAGUUUUUGGUUUUUCAGGUUUCUCUUCAACCAUUGGUUCUUCAAGUUUCUCCUCCACAGUUGUUUUUUCAUGUUUCUCUUCAACUGCCAGAUCUUCAAGUUCUCUCUCAACUGUUGGUUCUUCAGGCUUCUCCAUAACCGCCAAUACUUCAGGCUUCUCUUCAAUUGUUGUUUCUUCAUGUUCUUUUUCAACUACUGGUUCUUGAGAUUUUUCCUUGACUGAUUCAUAGUCAGCAAUAUCAUUGGUGGUAUUGCAUGACAUUACAUAAUCUAUCUUGUCCUUUGAGUCUACAAUUGGAAAAUGCUGCAAGAAAAUUUAAAAGUUUUACUUAGUCUUUCAACAGAUAAACAUAUGUAAAUCCGUUGCACAUAUAAAGCUAAUAUGAUGGAUAAAUUUUGUGACAAUGUUUAAUUCUGACCUUCUCUAGAAGAGCUCCGGUUUCAGGUUUCUCCACUUCAACAACUAGUUCUUUAGGUGUCUUUUCAACCGUUGCUUCUUCAGGUUUCUCUUCAAGUGCUAGUUCUUCAGCUGUUUCCUCCCCCUCUAACUCUUCAGGUGUUUUUUUAGCUGUUCGUUCUUCAGAUUUCUCUUCAGCCGCAGGUUCUUGAGGUUUCUCUUCAAAUGGUAAUUCAAAUUUCUCCUCAACCGAUGGUUCUUCAAAUUUCUCUUGAAUAACUGGUUCUUCAGGUUUUUCUUCAACUGCUGAUUCUUCAAGAUUUUCUUCAACAUUUAAAGAUUGAGCAACAUCAUUACUGGUAUUGCAUGGAAUUUCACUGCCAUUUUUGCUGUUCAAGUCUACAACUAGCAUAUUCUGCAAAAGAGUUUAAUGUUUCACUUAGUCUUUCAAUAAAGAAGCAGACGUGAAUCAUUUCACAUACAUAACUAAUAAUAUGGAUAGCUAAUAAUAUGGAUUAACUUUUAUGACAGAUUUUCCACAAGAGCUACCUUUUCAGGUUUCUCCUCUUCAAGUGAUGGUUUCUCUUCAAAUGAUAGUUCAUUAGGCGUUUCUUCCUGUGUUGGUUUUUCAUGUGCUUCUUCAGUUACUGGUUUUUCAGGUUUCUCCUUAGUUGUUGGUUCUUCGCUUGUCUCCUCAGCUGAUUGUUCUUCAAGCUUCUCUCCUGUUGUUGAUUUUUCUGGUUUCUCUUCAAUUAUCGGUGGUUCAGGUUUUUUCUCAACCGGUGAUUCUUCUGGUUUCUCCAAAACCAUUGAUUCUUCAUGUUUUUUUUCAACUACUGACUCUUCAGUGUUUUCCUCAACUGAUGCAUAGUCAGCAAUAUCGUUGUUGGUAUUGCUUGGAAUUGCAUUGUCUAUCUUGUCCUUUGAGUUUACUUUUGGCAUAUUCUGCAAUGAAGUUUCACGUAGUCUUUCAAUAGAUAAACAAAUGUAAAUUUGUUGCACAUAUAAAAGCUAAUAUGAUGGAUAAAAUUUGUGCCAGUGUUUAAUCCUCACCUUCUCCUGAAGAGCUUCCGCUUCAAGUUCCUCCUCUUCAAUUGCAGGUUUUUCAUCUUUCUCUCCAACAACUAGUUCUUCAGGUUUCUCUUCAAGUGCCAGUUCUUCAGGUGUUUCCUCCUUUGCCAGCUCUUCAGGUGUUUCCUCCUUUGCCAGCUCUUCAGGUGUUUCUUUAGCUGCCGGUUCUUCAGGUUUCUCUUCAACCUCCGGUUCUUGUGGUAUUUCCUCUACUUGUACUUCAGAUUUCUCCUCAAUUGUUGGUUCUUCAGGUUUCUCUCUAACCGCUGCUGCAUUAGGUUUCUCUUCAUUGGCUGGUUCUUCAGGUUUUUCUUCAACUACCGAUUCUUCAGGAUUUUCCUCAAUGUUUGGAAAGGGAGCGACAUCAUUAUUGGUAUUGCAUGGAAUUUCACUGCCAGUUUUGUCAUUCAAGUCCACAACUAGUAUAUUCUGCAAAAGAGUUUAAUGUUUCACUUAGUCUUUCAAUAAAGAAGCAGAUGCGAAUCAUUACAUAUACAUAACUAAUAACAUGGAUAAACUUUAUGACAGUAGUUGACCCUUACCUUUUCCACAAGAGUUACUUUUGCAGGUUUCUCCUCUUCAAGUGCUGGUUUCUCUUCAAAUGAUAGUUCAUUAGGUGUUUCUUCCCGUGUUGGUUCUUCAUGUGCUUCUUCAGUUACUGGUUUUUCAGGUUUCUCCUCAAUUGUUGGUUCUUCGCUUGUCUUCUCAACUGAUGGUUCCUCAUGCUUCUCUCCCGUUGUUGAUUUUUCGGGUUUCUCUUCAGUUGUCGAUGGUUCAGUUUUUUUCUCAACCGCUGGUUCUUUUGGCUUCUCCAAAACCAUUUCCGAUUUCUCUUCAGUUGGUGGUUCUUCAUGGUUUUUUUCAACUACUGGUUCUUCUCUUUUUUCCUCAACUGAUGCAUAGUCAGCAAUAUCGUUGUUGGUAUUGCUUGGAAUUGCAUUGUCUGUCUUGUCCUUUGAGCUUACAAUUGGCAUAUUCUGCUAGAAAAAUAUAAAGUUUCAUGUAGUCUUUCAACAGAGAAACCAAUGUAAAUUUGUUGCACAUAUAAAGCUAACAAAUAUGAUGGAUAGACUUUGCGAGAGUGUUUAAUACUCACCUUCUCCGGAAGAGCUUCCGUUUCAGGUUCCUCUUCAAUUUCUGCUUUUUCAUCUUUCUCUUCAACAACUAGUUCUUCAGGUGUCUCUUCAACCGUUGAUUCUUCAGGUUUCUCUUCAAGUGUUAGUUCUUGAGGUGUUUCCUCCUUUGCUAGCUCUUCAGGUGUUUCUGUAACUGCCGGUUCUUCAGGUUCCUCUUCAGCCACCGGCUGUUGACGUAUCUCCUCUACUUGUACUUCAGAUUUCUCCUCAAUUGUUGGUUCUUCAGGUUUCUCCUUAACCGCUGGUACAUCAGGUUUAUCCUCAUUGACUGGUUCUUCAACUGCUGAUUCUUCUAGAUUUUCCUCAAUGUCUGGAAAGCGAGCAACAUCAUUAUUGGUAUUGCAUGGAAUUUCAUUUCCAGUUUCGUUAUUCGAG